AUUGAACGCUGGCGGCAGGCCUAACACAUGCAAGUCGAGCGGAUGAAGGGAGCUUGCUCCUGGAUUCAGCGGCGGACGGGUGAGUAAUUCCUAGGAAUCUGCCUGGUCGUGGGGGAUAACGUCCGGAAACGGGCGCUAAUACCGCAUACGUCCUGAGGGAGAAAGUGGGGGAUCUUCGGACCUCACGCUAUCAGAUGAGCCUAGGUCGGAUUAGCUAGUUGGUGGGGUAAAGGCCUACCAAGGCGACGAUCCGUAACUGGUCUGAGAGGAUGAUCAGUCACACUGGAACUGAGACACGGUCCAGACUCCUACGGGAGGCAGCAGUGGGGAAUAUUGGACAAUGGGCGAAAGCCUGAUCCAGCCAUGCCGCGUGUGUGAAGAAGGUCUUCGGAUUGUAAAGCACUUUAAGUUGGGAGGAAGGGCAGUAAGUUAAUACCUUGCUGUUUUGACGUUACCAACAGAAUAAGCACCGGCUAACUUCGUG
rnacentral:rRNA from 1 species